UGGGGAAUAUUGCACAAUGGGCGCAAGCCUGAUGCAGCCAUGCCGCGUGUAUGAAGAAGGCCUUCGGGUUGUAAAGUACUUUCAGCGGGGAGGAAGGGAGUAAAGUUAAUACCUUUGCUCAUCGACGUUACCCGCAGAAGAAGCACCGGCUAACUCCGUGCCAGCAGCCGCGGUAAUACGGAGGGUGCAAGCGUUAAUCGGAAUUACUGGGCGUAAAGCGCACGCAGGCGGUUUGUUAAGUCAGAUGUGAAAUCCCCGGGCCCAACCUGGGGACUGCAUCUGAUACUGGCAAGCUUGAGUAUCGUAGAGGGGGGUAGAAUUCCAGGUGUAGCGGUGAAAUGCGUAGAGAUCUGGAGGAAUACCGGUGGCGAAGGCGGCCCCCUGGACGAAGACUGACGCUCAGGUGCGAAAGCGUGGGGAGCAAACAGG
rnacentral:rRNA from 1 species